GAGACUCGGCGACGCCAACGAGGCCAACGUCUUGUCGUCUCUGAUAUCAAGAAGCUGCGAAUCAGGCUGGCUCUUGAGCUUAAGAAACGCGUUGAUGGCGGUUAUCGGUUUAUACUUCCUCAGGUAGAAGAUCGCCGCCGGGUAGACGACGAGGUAGAUGAAUGUGCAUCCCGCCACGAAAAACGGGUACUUGUUGAAAAAGUUGUCGAUCGUGAUCAGAAUCGACUCCAGAUCGAUUUUUCCGGUGGAUUGGUCGGAGAUUGAGGUGAAGGGUUGUGUUGAUGCGAGGACAGGGGAACAGAGGAUGGUGUGAGAAAGGGUGAGAGAGAGAUUGGUUUUGGACAGAAGGUGUAGCGAAUGAGAUAUGUUGUUGAGUGGAGCUGUGCGACUUUGGUCGGAAUUUGGAGUUUGAGGAGUGGAGGGUUUGGAUAGGUUUCGCGGAGGAGAAGAUGCGAGAAUUGUCGGAAGAGACGACAUCAUAACUAAAUGGCGACGAGAGACGAUGAGUGGAAGCGCCAAGAGGAUAAGAAACAAAAUAAAGGGCUCAUUCUUGUAAAAUUGGAUAAACACUAAAAGAUGAUGUCAAAACUGUAAAUAACUACUUUUGUCAAUUAUUAAUUUACAUAAAAAAAAAAAAAAUUGAGAACUAUUAAUUUUAGAUACAAUUGCCAAAACAAUUUCCCAAUUUAUCAACAAAUUUUCCCAGCUUUUUGUCUAUACUAUUUUUAGGGCAAUUCUCUUAAAUAACAAUUUUUAAGUUUUUGUCACAAAAAUAGUCUUCAAAAAGAAAAUGACAAAAAUAGCUCCAUUUUAUUUUGAAAUUUUUAAUAUUUAUUUUUAUUUUUUUUAAAUUUGAAAUCUUAUCAUCAAAACCCCCUAAUUCUAGAUUAGUUAACCCUAGAGUCAAAAUACAUUUUUACUUUUCGAUAAAACUUAUUUUGUUUAUUUUCUUCAUUGAACGUUAUUUUGCGACAAAAACUUAGAAAGAUAUAUCUUAGAAAAUUUCUCCUAUUUUUAUCACGUUAAUUAAUGAUUUUGUCUUUUCUCUAAGUAUUUUGGUUUCAGUUAAAUAAAAAUAACAUUACAUAUGAAAGAAAUUUUAAUAGAUUAUUUAUUUUUGCUUAAGUCUUAAGAAGAGAAAAAAAAACUCUGUAUUGUCAAACACUACUGUUUUGAUUUUCCAUCUAACGACAGUGAAUUCUGAUUUAUUCAUAAAAUUUAAGAUGAACAAAUUUAAAAUGUAAACCUAUAAUAUUUUACACAAAUUUAGAAAAAAAUAAAUACUUGCGUCUCUGUUUCCCUCCUCUCUCUAUAUAUUAUGGCAAAACAAACUGGAUACAUUUUACACAACACAAAGCUGAUCCCAUCUUAAUAAACUAAUGAGAUGAGUUAUGUUCAUCGUCUGAAGAUGAAGAAGAAGAAGACUGCUUUCGUCCGAAUAGUCCAGGCAGAGGCUGUGGCAGCAUUGGGUUCACAGGAACUGGAAACUUGUGAGCAGAACUAACCAUUGUUCUUUCGUUUAUCAUCCCUACUUCUUUGCAGACUCUGUCCACUACUCCGAGGAAGUCUCGAACCACCAAGAAUAUCCUAAACGGAUGUGCUUCUUCUUUAGCCGAGUUCCCAUGGAAAUACUCUGUGAUCUCUUUCACGAGAGACAACGCUACGCUCUCUUGAGCUUGUACUCUGAUGAUGUCUUCUUCAGCUCUUUUCAGAAACGUGUUCAUCGAUUCCAAAAACCUCUCGCUACUGCUGCUGCCGCUUUCUUCUCUGACCGUUGAUUGGAUUUGGACUGCUUCGUUGAUCUUGGCAAUGCCUUGGGAAAGCUUGGAGACGUAGCUGCUGAGUACUUCCGAGUCCAUUGCCGCAGCUUUCUUGACGUUGCCAAGCUCUGAAGAUAGACUUGAUACAACUUGGAGGCCGAGUUUCCUGCAUUUGAUGUCAUCCGUUUGUGUAUUGUUGUCACCUGAGAGACGUGUGCCUUCUGCUCGGAUGAUCUCUUGAACAACGAAAUGCAAGAGAGUUGUUUUCCCAUCAGCGCCUUUGACAUCGACCAGCUUGAGGAGCGUGUCGAGCUUGAACGCAUGUGCGUCGCCUCGGUUCGUCCCAACGUUCAUGCGGUUUCCUGUCUUUAGAACCGCUUCUAGAAGCUUUAAGAACAUUCUGCUGUUCCUCAGUUCCUCACAAGCAGCCUACCCCAUAAAAGGUUUGAUUCGUUACAAACACAAAUGGUAGCAAGAGAGAGAGAAGAUAGCUUUGCUUUAUACAUUACCUCAAGAGUCUGGAAAGAGUUCUUCAGGUAUUCAACCUCGGAGUCAAAGUUAGCUACAUAGAGCAUUGCGUCAACUCUUUUAAAGGCAAAAGGGAUGUCUAGCAUUGCCUUGAGGAACUUCUCAGCAUGUCCAAGCUUUACAGGCGAAUCAUCCUUGUACUCUUUUAACCUGCGCUCUUCCUCUUUCGUUGGGGCCAUCUUGAGUAAGCUCUCUAGAAGUUCAGUCCCAAGUGUUUCGGCAUUGCCUGAAAAGCAUAACAUAACAACAAUCAUUCAGGACAUCAACUUCUUAGAUCAUAGCUAAACAAACGCAGAUGAAAUGUGAAACUAAGUAUGUGACAGCAUAGGUUACCUUCAAGAAGCGCUUCACAGACUUCUUCAAUAGUGACAUUAAGUGCACGAAGCAGGAUUGCAAUAUUCUGAGCCUUCUUAGGGUCCAAGACUCUGUUCUCUUGAUUCGGGCUUGGGAGAGCGCAUCUUGGAGUAGUCUGGCUCUGAUUUGGUUUGGAGUCUAACGACUUUGCCACAAACAACGUUUCAAUCAUCUCUUCAUCUAAUCUGCAAUCACACCAAUAAAAUUUCAACAACCAUAUUGUGACAAAGAAACUAUGAGAUUAACUCACUUGAAAGAGCUUGAACGAAGCUGAUCCCAGACCAUCUCACGGUCGGAACUUGCUCUGACUUUAUCCCAGUGCAAAGCCUUAAGCUUCGGUUUAGGAGUUUCCUCUGCAGGCUCAUUGGCACUGAACGUCUCUUUUAGAGUCUCUUCUGGUGAAGUCUUUGGAAGGUUUUCGGAUGGGAUCACAAAAGGAUUCGAAGGCGGCGUGAGAGGAGGUGGUCGGGACGCCUUAGGAGUCGCUUGAUUCCGUCGUGCCCAUGUCGGAAACGGUGGAGGAGGUGGCGGAGGCGGCACUCGUGCAGACACCGGAGGCUGUAGAAUCUGAGAUGAAAUGUUGGAGAUUCGUGGAGAUACAUCUAAGCUAUGGCUAAAGUCUCUAUCCGGAGAAGACGAAAGAGACGACGACGAGGCAGACUGUGGAUCGUGAGAAGCUUUCUCCGGCGGCGACUUGUGAGAAGCUUUCUCCGAACGCAAUGCAUCCAACUCGUUAAGGAAGCCUUGUCCCGGGCGCCGCCUUUGAUGUAAUAAGCCUCUUUAAAUCCAUUCUCAACCAGCAAUUCAGCCACUUUCAUGGAGUUACCAUCAAAACUGCCUUCCACAUCAAAACAUGUAAGACAAACACAAAGCAAUAUCUUAAAAAAAGUAUGAAGCUUUUGGUCUAAAUCCUUACUUGUCAAGUACACAAACAACUGUGUUCUCCGGAUCAGAGAAUCCUCCUUUAACUCUCUUCACGAACCCCGACUCAUCUUCCUCACUAUACGGAACCUGAACCGAGCUCUUACCCAGAAACUUGAGACUCGGCGACGCCAACGAGGCCAACGUCUUGUCGUCUCUGAUAUCAAGAAGCUGCGAAUCAGGCUGGCUCUUGAGCUUAAGAAACGCGUUGAUGGCGGUUAUCGGUUUAUACUUCCUCAGGUAGAAGAUCGCCGCCGGGUAGACGACGAGGUAGAUGAAUGUGCAUCCCGCCACGAAAAACGGGUACUUGUUGAAAAAGUUGUCGAUCGUGAUCAGAAUCGACUCCAGAUCGAUUUUUCCGGUGGAUUGGUCGGAGAUUGAG
rnacentral:lncRNA from 1 species